rnacentral:lncRNA from 1 species
GUGUGUUUUCAGUGCAAAUGGUUUUUUAUUAUGGUGCCGUGAUUUACAAUCUUGUAAAUAAUAAUAGUGGUAUUUUUAUAUAAGCAUAAAGAUUAAGGCAAUCACCGUUCAAUGACUAAAGAAAAUAGUCUAAUAAAGGUGCGUAUAAACCCUCGACAGAAAAAGAAAGCUUUCCUAUCAGUAGGAAAGCCUUCUUUUUUCUGUGGAGGGAUUAUAUGCCCCUUUAUAAAACUAUUUUCCUUAAUCAUUGCAUGGUGAUCGCCAUAAGCUUUAAGCUUAUAUAAAAAUACCAUUAUUAUUAUUUACAGAAUAUAUUUGCAACUCAGCUAUCCCAGCUAACAAGUUUUCCAUAUUUUACAAUUUUCGUAAGUUUGCACAACAAAGAUUUUUGUUUUUAUUUUGUCAAUAUAUUUAAUUCUCCAUGUGAAUUAGUUUUAAACUCUCCGUGUGAAUGUUUUUCCUUUCUCCAUGUAAAUUUGUUUUUCUUCAUCGCCACUGUAGUAAAGCGGUUUUUUUGCCACUGUUGUAUAUGUCUUUUGAUGAUGGUUGAGCUCUGACAGACAGUGUUAUAUUCCAAAGUCAUUAAUAAAAUGGUUCUAUCUUGUACUGUACAAUCUCCAGUCAUACAAUGUUAUUAUCCUCAAAAGGUUGGGUCGAUAUAACGCCCACUCAGUAUCACAGUAUAAUUGUGGAGGCGCAUGGCUUAGUGGUUAGGGUGUCAGUAUCAUGAUCGUAAGAUUGUGGUUUUGUUUCCUGGAGCGGGCGACGCCUUGUGUUCUUGAGCAAAACACUUCAUUUCAUGUUGCUCCAGUCCACUCAGCUGGCAAAAAUGAGUAAUAUUGCGAUGGACUGGCAUCCCAUCCAGGUGGGGCACAUAUACGCCAUAGAAACCAGGAAACCGGGCCCAUGAGCCUGGCUAGGCUUUAAAAAAGGGAUCAUUUAUUUGUUUGGUGGAAGCACAUGGCCUAGUGGUUAGAGCAGCGGACUCGCAGUCGAGGGAUCAUGGGUACAAAUCUCAGACCGGACGAUGUGUGUGUUUAUGAGCGAAACACCUAAGCUCCACACAGCUCCAGCAGAAGGUAAUGGUAAAACUUCUGCUAACACUUUCGCCACAACUUUCUCUCACUCUUUCCUCCUGCAUCUUGCAGCUCACCUGCGACGGACUGGCGUCCCGUCCUGGUGGGGAACCUAUAUGCCAAGAAACUGGGAAACUGGCCCAUAUGAGCCAGGCAUGGCUUGAGAAGGAACAAACAACAACAGUAUAAUUACUAUAUCAGCACAAACACGACUAUCAACACAGUCUACACGUACACUCGACCUUCUUCCUGUUGAUGGCUACCGGUCUAUUUAUAAUAGCUUUUUACUUGGAAGGAUGUACAGGUUCACUAUACAACAAUCUCUUCACCCAAUCAGGAACCACUUUCAGAUCAUCAUUGUUUGGCAACUAAAACACCACUUUUGUUUUAGUUGCAAGGUCAAGUUGGAGUUUUAGUAGUGAACCAACCUGAGUACUUAUUGUAUAUGCCUAUUGCAUUACAUCAUUACAUGCAGUUUUAUCUGUACUGUUUGUGUGUGUGUGUGUGUGUGUAUGUGUGUGUGUGUGGUGUGUGAGUGUAUCCAUGUGUCUUUGCAUCGACACUAUCUGGUUGAGGAUCAUAUUUUUGAAAAAUUUGUCCUGCAGUUGUUAAUGAAAUGUAUGAAGACCAGAAGAACAUAUAUAUAUACAUUCAUAUAUAUAUAUAUAUAUAUAUAUAUAUAUAUAUAUAUAUAUAUAUAUAUAUAUGUAUGUAUAUAUACAUACAUACAUGCAUACAUACAUAUAUACAUACAUUCAUAUACGCACACAUACACAUGUACUCUCUCUUUUACUUUUUUACUUGUUCCAGUCAUUUGAUUGUGGCCAUGCUGGAGCACCGCAUUUAGUCGAGUACAUCGACCUCAGGACUUAUUCUUUGUAAGCCAAGUACUUAUUCUAUUGGUCUCUUUUGCCAAACUGCUAAGUUACGGGGAGGUAAACACACCAGCAUCGGUUGUCAAGCGAUGUUGGGGGGACAAACAUGGACACACAAACAUAUACACAUACAUACAUAUACAUAUAUACGACUGGCUUUCCGUCUACCAAAUCCACUCACAAGGCUUUGGUUGGCCCGAGGCUAUAGUAGAAGACACUUGUCCAAGGUGCCACUUAUGUAGUUUGUAAGCAGGCUACUUACCACACAGCCACACCUACGCCUAAAGAAUAAUAAUGUAUAUAUAUAUACUAUAUCAGAAUCAGUUUUUUCUGUUCGCUUGAGUACAUUGGGUAGCAAGUUGAUACCAUCAGUUUCUAUUCGCUGCAGUUUUCCCUUCAUCCAUCCAUGGGAUAUUGACCUCUUUUUGUCAGUUAUGAAUAUUCUGUGCCGUGUACUUUUCAGUCUUCCUCUCUAACUUUUUCUCUCUGGUGGUGUCUAUUUAAAGCUGUUUUAGAAUAAAUUUGUUUUGAUAGCUGGAGUAUAUGAUCUGCUAGCUGUAAUCUUCACCCUCUGACAAUUUCACCAAGUGGUCCUGUGUUGUCUCUUUUUUAAAUGUUUUCAUUGGGUGUGGACAUUCUUGAAAAUCCUUCUCAAGAAUCAUUAAUGGAAUACAUCUAGCAUUCUGUUGAUUUUCACUAUAUUCCUCCAUGUCUCACUGACACAGAAUCAUGAGUGCAACACUCUAGCCACUGAGUUCUGUGCCUUCACACACAUAUACACACACUCACACACACAAACACACACAUGUAUCGUCAUUAUCCUCAUCAUCAUCAUUGUUUAAUGUCUGCAACAUGGGUAGAAUGGUUGACAGGAGCCAGCCAGGUAGAAGACAAUCCCAGGCCACUGUGUCUGUUUUGCCAGGGUUUUUAUGGCUGGAUGCCCUUCCUAACACCAACUGCCCUGCAGAGUGGACUUUGUGCUUUUUACAUGGCACUAGCACAAGCAAGGUUAGUUUUGGCAUGAUUUUUACAGUUGGAUGCCCUUCCAAAUGCCAACCACUUUACAGUGUGGACUGGAUGCUUUUUACUUGGCACUAGCACUGGCGGAGUCACCAAGCAAAUCAUAAGACAAGGAAUUUUGAGAGGGGCAGGGUCAUUUGAGAAGAGAACUUGUAUCAGAGGAUUAAAGGUCAGAGGGUGACCAAGAGACAGAGAGGCAGAAACAGUUGUCUUGCUAUAGGCGAGCUGGCAGAAAUGUUAGCACACCAGGCGAAAUGCUUAGCGGUAUUUCGUCUGCCAUUACGUUCUGAGUUCAAAUUCUGCCAAGGUCGACUUUGCCUUUCAUCCUUUCGGGGUCAAUAAACUAAGUACCAGUAACGCACUGGGGUCAAUGUAAUCGACUUAAUACCUAUGUCUUUCCUUGUUUGUCCUCUCUAUGUUUAGCCCCUUGUGGGUAAUAAAGAAAUAGGUAUUUUGUCUGCUAUUACAUUCUGAGUUCAAAUUCUGCCACGGUCGACUUUGCCUUUCAUCCUUUCGGGGUCAAUAAACUAAGUACCAGUUACGCACUGAGGUCGAUGUAAUCGACUUAAUCCGUUUGUCUGUCCUUGUUUGUUCCCUCUAUGUUUAGCCCUUGUGGGUAAUAAAGAAAUAGGUAUUUCGUCUGCCGUUACGUUCUGAGUUCAAAUUCUGCCGAGGUCGACUUUACCUUUCAUCCUUUCAGGGUCAAUAAACUAAGUACCAGUAACGCACUGGGGUCGAUGUAAUCGACUUAAUCCCUUUGUCUGUCCUUGUUUGUCCCCUCUAUGUUUAGCCCUUUGUGGGCAAUAAACAAAUAAGAAACAGGUACAUGGUUAUCAAUGUAUGAAUUAGGCACAUAUAACACAUAAGCCAAGGGAGUAUAGUUUUAGUUUUUCUGAACAAGAUAUUUGAUCACUGAAAGUUUCCAGUGUCUGCGUUAUGAGUUAGUGUCAACAUGAAUUUCACAAACAGGAAUUUGUUCAUAAUUGGAAUGAGAACUGGAAGAAUGAUAGUUAUUUUAGGUGCUGUUAGUUGAUACAAUCGCUUGUACAAAUACCUGAUAGAUUUGUAGUUGAUUUAUAGAUUGCUGAAAUUGUUAAUAACAAUCCUGGUGUCAUGAAUGUUAUUCUUUAGAAACAAGCUUCUAUUCAUUUCUUUUAAAUUAUUUAGCAAAGAAUUCAAUGUGAACUUGUAUACUGAAAUGGAUAUUACCACGUUCUGGUCAUUUCAGCAAACAGAAUGGAGUAGAAUAUCAAUGAACUGGGUGUAUGUGUAUGUGCGUGUAUGUAUGUAUGUAUGUAUGUAUGUAUGUAUGUAUGUAUGUAUUAAUCUAUCUAUUUAUAAAUCUCUGUAUUAUUAUAAUUAUUAUAAUUAUUAUCAUUAUUAUUAUUUAGAAGAAACAUUCAAAAAGUGUUGUGAAAUUCAGCUACCCAGGUUUUCCAGGCUGCAAUAUUAAAUUUGGAAAUAUUAAAUUUCUAAAUGUCUCAAAGAGACAUGAGCGGUGGUGGAGCGAUAGAGUGGUUGUAUACUGUCAACUUAACGUGACAGUCCUGUAUGGGAAUUACACCACCGCUAUUUAACCCUAGGAAGCAUCGAACACUUCCUGUCGGCUUUGACACAUUUUCUGCGUCCUUAUAUUUGUGAAGGGGAGGCAAGCACCCCUACCAGCCAAGAUUCACACCUGAGGACAUGCAUGUUUCUGGGUCUUAACCCGUCAUCAGCCCAGGAUAGUGAGAUCUGCUGAUUGAGGUGCCUGUCCACCCUUCACAAAUAUAUAUAUUUACAGUGAAAUCUAUUCACUGGUUACCGUAAUCAGAAAUAUUAAAUUUCUAAUCCUGGGCUGAUGACAGGUUAAGUUGACAGUAUACAACCACUCUAAUAUUAAAUUUAUUUCACCAUUUUUCAAGAUUUUCUGUGCUUCUUAUAAAUAACCCUUUCUACUAAAGGCACAAGGCCUGAAAUUUUAGAGGAGGGGACUAGUCGAUUACAUUGACCCCAGUGUUUCAUUGGUACUUAAUUUAUCGACCCCAAAAGGAUGAAAGGUAAAGUCAACCUUAGCAGAAUUUGGACUCAGAAUGUAACAAACAGGCAAAAUACCGCAAAGCAUUUCAUCCAGCAUGCUAAUGAUUCUGCCAGCUUGCCACCUUGUGUCUUAUAAAUAAUAAUAUAUUUACAGUCAUAAGGUGACAAGCUAGCACACUGAGCAAAAUGCUUAAUGGCAGAUCAUCCAUCUUUAACAUUCUGAGUUCAAAUUCCACCAAGGUCGACUAAGCCUUUCAUCAUUGCAGGGUUGAUAAAAUAAGUGCCAGUUAGGUACGGGGGUCAAUGUAUCGACUUAAUCCCUUCCUCAAAAUUGCUGGCCUUGUGCCAAAAUUUUAAAUCAACAUAAGUCCUGGGAUCAAUUUGCUCGACUAAAGGUGGUGCUCCAGUAUGGCCGCAGUCAAAAGACUAAAACAAGUAAAAGAAUAAAAGAAUAAAAGAAAUGCCUUUUGGUUUUAAAUUGCAACUAGCUACUUUAAUAAUUUAUAAUUAUCACUUUACCAUUGUACUGAAUCAGCAAAUGAUUUGGACAGUAUUUUCUACAAACUGGCAAGGUCAGUUACCUUUAACCCUAGGCACUGUAGUAACGUCACCAAUGAGGAUUAACUUGAUCUGAAAUCACAGGAGUGGCUGUGUGGUAAGUAGCUUGCUAAACAACCACAUGGUUCCGGGUUCAGUCCCACUGCGUGGCAUCUUGGGCAAGUGUCUUCUGCUAUAGCCCUGGGUCGACCAAUGCCUUGUGAGUGGAUUUGGUAGACAGAAACUGAUAGAAGCCUGUCGUAUGUAUGUAUAUAUAUAUAUAUGUAUGUGUGUGUGUUUGUGUGUCUGUGUUUGUCCCCCUAGCAUUGCUUGACAACCGAUGCUGGUGUGUUUACGUCCCCGUUACUUAGUGGUUCGGCAAAAGAGACUGAUAGAAUAAGUACUGGGCUUACAAAGAAUAAGUCCCGGGGUCGAUUUGCUCGACUAAAGGCGGUGCUCCAGCAUGGCCACAGUCAAAUGACUGAAACAAGUAAAAGAGUAAAAAGAGUAAAGAGUAUAUGACGCCCUUGCUUGCUUAGGGAGCUUGUCUCCUUUGUGAGUCAAUAGAUAAGUGUUUUUGUAACAGAAAAUGUUCUGUUUGUAGCUAAGAGUUGUUUUAACUCUUAUUUCUAGCAACGAUGGUGCUUACUUGCACCCUUAGUUACUUUUAGGGACAUAUAUGAUUGUGCCUUUUGGUUUUAAAUUGUGAGUAGCCACUUUAAUAAUUUAUAUAUACAUACAUGCAUAUAUAUAUAUAUAUAUAUAUAUAUAUAUAUAUUAAUUUAUUAUAUAGUAGGAGCUUCUACAGGACUAGUACUGUUUCAUUCAAGAGAAAUCUUCCUGAAGAUUUCUCUUGAAUGAAACAGUACUAGUCCUGUAGAAGCUCCUACUAUAUAAUAAAUUAAUUUUACUCUGCUAUGUAUUGAGUACCUUACUUACUGUGGUUAACCCCGAAUCAACCCGGGACCUACAUAUAUAUAUAUAUAUAUAUAUAUACACAUAUCAUACAUAUAUAUAUAUAUAUAUAUACACAUAUCAUACUUAUAUAUAUACAUACAUAUAGAUGUAUACAUGCUUCAUGUGUUUGCAGGUAGACUGUGACUACUUAGCUUGGUGGAGA